GAGAAUCGGACUCGUCGACACGUCGACACAUUCUAGUUAACGCGAAAUUUCACGCGGAAGCACGCGACGCAAGUGCAAACAUGUGCGAGGAACGGAAGAAACGGGAAGGCCUCUCGCGCGGCGAGACUACCCCACCCUCUCGAUAGGCGAUGACAGCCAAAAGCGCAAACAAACAAACAACCGAUUAAACAAGCGAGCAACAUACACGACGUGCAUCGUCUCGAACGUGUCGAGCGAGGAGAGAGAGAGAACGCUACCUCUCGUGGCGCGAUCAAACCCGAGUCUCGUCGUCGCGGGAUCCGCGAAAAUCAUCUCUAUGUUUACACUCGCGAGAUGUACGCGCGACUGCGGCCGUAAGGUCCAUUUUCACGCACGUUCCGUGACGUUUAAGAUUUUGACAGACUCCCUGUUUAGGACGACGCGCGAGAUAUUCGCGUAAUUCGACCGCCCUGCCGCAUUCCUCGACGAUAAAACCUGGAGAUUCGGAGAACAACAGACGAGGAUCGUCCGAGAAGCGCGACGACCACUUCCCCGAACGUUACGCGAGGAUCCGUUGGCGGCUGUCUCGGCGGCUCGAUGGUACCCUGGCCUCGCGCGAGGUCACCUGGAUGCCCAGGGACUGCCAAGGACCGUUGCACCGACCACUUCAGCAGCACUUCCAGCCUCCGGCGGAGAAGCUGCCGUCCCGUCUCGCGUAAACCUCCAAACACUACGGACAGG
rnacentral:misc_RNA from 1 species